rnacentral:rRNA from 1 species
GGUUACUGCUAUCGGUGUCCGCCUAAGCCAUGCGAGUCAUAUGUUCGUAAGAACAUGGCGUACUGCUCAGUAACACGUGGAUAACCUGCCCUUGGUUCCGGCAUAACCCCGGGAAACUGGGGAUAAUUCCGGAUAACGCACAUAUGCUGGAAUGCUUUAUGCGUAAAAUGGAUUCGUCUGCCCAAGGAUGGGUCUGCGGCCUAUCAGGUAGUAGUGGGUGUAAUGUACCUACUAGCCUACGACGGGUACGGGUUGUGAGAGCAAGAGCCCGGAGAUGGAUUCUGAGACACGAAUCCAGGCCCUACGGGGCGCAGCAGGCGCGAAAACUUUACAAUGCGGGAAACCGUGAUAAGGGGACACCGAGUGCCAGCAUCCUAUGCUGGCUGUCCGGGUGUGUAAAAUACACCUGUAGCAAGGGCCGGGCAAGACCGGUCCAGCCGCCGCGGUAACACCGGCGGCCCGAGUGGUGAUCGUGAUUAUUGGGUCUAAAGGGUCCGUAGCCGGUUUGGUCAGUCCUCCGGGAAAUCUGACAGCUUAACUGUUAGGCUUUCGGAGGAUACUGCCAGACUUGGAACCGGGAGAGGUAAGUGGUACUACAGGGGUAGGAGUGAAAUCUUGUAAUCCCUGUGGGACCACCUGUGGCGAAGGCGUCUUA